rnacentral:misc_RNA from 1 species
UACAGAGGGUGCAAGCGUUAAUCGGAAUUACUGGGCGUAAAGCGCGCGUAGGCGGUUUGGUAAGUUGAAUGUGAAAGCCCCGGGCUCAACCUGGGAACUGCAUCCAAAACUGCCAGGCUAGAGUACAGUAGAGGGUGGUGGAAUUUCCUGUGUAGCGGUGAAAUGCGCAGAGAUAUGGAGGAACACCAGUGGCAAAGGCGACUACCUGGACUGAUACUGACACUGAGGUGCGAAAGCGUGGGGAGCAAACAGG